UCUCUCAGUUUCUCUGCCUCAAUCUCCCUCACCGUCGUCCUCUCUCUCUCUCUCUCUCUCUCUCUCUCUCUCUCUCCAUAUCACAAUUCAAAAAUCGAGAUCUAUUUGAGAGUCUAUAUUUUCAAACUUUGAUAUUAUGUUUUGCAUUUUCUAUUGCAUUCCUUAAUGUUUAAUUUCUGUUUAGGAUUUUAGGGCUUUGAUUUUCUGGGUUUACACAUAUGGGCUCCUCCUCCCUCUCUGUGUAGUUUGUGGAAUCAUUGAAGAGUGACAGUAUUGCCUGUUGUUUGGUCUUCGAGCCGAUGAAGAAUCGAAAAAGUUCAAUGAUUUUCUGCGCACUCUAUGUAUAUUCUGCCAGGAGAAAGCCCUCAGCAGUUUCUGUGAAUUUCUUGCAUCCAAAGAGCUCACCUUGAUUUCAAAGACAGAAGCUAUAGACAGUGAAGUUAGGGAUGAUGAAGCUAGGAAUUUUCUGGUCAAAUCAGAGCCAAAGAUGGAAUGAGUGCUU